ensembl:lncRNA
CGGCCUUUGUGCGUCGGCCCCCACCCGCCCCUGAUUGAUCCCACCUGAGUCUAAUCGCUUACACCUCCCCGGUGUAUUUAAAGCCUGUGCUCCCCCGGUGCCUGUGCCGGUUCAUCUUUGCCGGUGUCCAGUGGGCCGGUGCCGUCUUUGUCUCUUCUGACGGUUUCCCUGAGACGCUGCUGGUAUUGACGAAGGGAUGAAGAGCAAUGGAUGGAGAUCCGGAUGUCGGAUGUGGAGCAGGAAUUCUGAUGAGCUCAGCGGGGGGGGACCACGGCCGGUGAGAUCUGGAGGCCAGACGAUCCUGUUUGCAUUGAGUCCAGUCGAGAGCUGAGAUAUUUCCACAAUUCAUGACUUACUGACUGGGUGUUCGACGCCGCUUUGAAUCCUUUUAAAAAGCUCUUGUACACCACUUGAUUUGUGAUCAUCUGACAUGAGAAUUAAUAUCCCAUCAAACAUUUGGUCACUUUGUUGCUUGCAAAUAGCAAACAAGUAAAAGUAGCAAUACUAGACUGGAAAAAAUCAAAUCAAAGUAAACAAAUUCUGAAUUUAUCAAACCCAAAUAAAAGUACCACUGUGUUGUGUUCAUUCUGAUGCAUUUGCGAUGCCGUCAUGCUGUUGCAAGUAAAGGAUCGUAUGAAUAAACUAAAUCUGCAAAGUAACAAGUUAUGGAUUUAAAAACAAACCAUGAUCUCACACCUGAUGAGACCUUGAAUCUCACUAAUGAUUCGCGGUGGUUGAAUUCGCAUCGACGUGUCACUUCAGCUCAAGGACAUUUGGUUGAGUGUUUGUGUAGCCGAUCUAAACCGACGUAGAAAAAGUCCAUCGGUGAGACGCGACGCAGCAAGACGUUUCAGAGUGGACUCAGCGGGCGAGUGUGAAGCUCAACAGCAGCUGAGUUUUCAAAAAAUCAACUCUAAUCAAAACGACUCGUUGCACAUCACCUAGACAGCUUGCUUGUCCCUUUCUCCGUGUCUCGGUGCUCCGUCAGUGUUCAGUGGAAACUUUACAUUUGAUCAGUUUCUCAUUGUUGGGUGAGUUCAGUCAGAGUGUUGUUAUUUGUGACCUGAAGGGAGAUCAACAUGGUGUUUUGUGUUUUUAUUGCAUGUAAGUGAAACGCCCACGCUCUGCAUCUGGACUUCACCUGUAAACAAUGGUGCUUGUUAGCUGCUCUUUGAGACAUACAGAUAUGGAUAGAAUUAACCCUCUUCUGUUUGCAACACAUUUUAUUGUGCUCUGCACUACCUUUAGUACUUAUGAAUUAACAGUCGGAGUCUCAUUUGUUCAUUACUGCCUCUCACAGCCGUUUGUGCCUGAUAUGCUUUUCCCCCCCGUUGGGUUUCGCGUGCCGGCGGUCUGACAGAGACUCUCCUUGGCUGUCAGUUUGACAGCCGCCUCCGUGAGAGAAAAGCAAAGUGAAAGGUUAUUAUUUCUCCUGUCCCGACGCACUUUCUGACAGAUAAGCUGUCCCUACACCCCCCGAUUCCCCCCCUCCUCAAGUCACCUUUGUCCUCCUGCAGUCUGUGAUGAAUCCCUCUGAAACACCGUGAUUGAUUGAUUGAAAAGUGCAAGCAGAAGAAUAAUGUCGGGCACUUGUUGGCUGACAGAGGUCUCCAUUAGUGGCACAGUUAACACGGGUCCUCCAUCCAUCGCGAGGAGGCUCCAGACAUCACACCCGAAACCCAUGUCACAGGAGUCGGGGCUCCGUGUGUUUUUUUUGUUGUUGUGCGCGGCGUUGUGAAGGUUAAGCAAAGUGCUGACGGACAAUCUGGGGAAGAAGAGUUGAGCCUCGGCGGUGACAUUUUGAAAAUGUUAGUUGAAACCGUGCAUCUCACCCAGCCUGCAAGACCUCCGGGGCUGCGUCUGCAGAGAUGUCAACGCUGCUAACAAUGUCGAGCUCACCGGCCGAAGACAAAGGAAACACUUGCCGACUGGGAGCAGAGAUGUUGGUGUCUGCGAGGAAGUCACCAGCACGGCACGCCGGCUUGAAACGGGGGUCCUAAAUGUAAUCAGUGUUUACCGUUUUGUGGUAAAACUGCCCCCUUCAGGAUCCAUUUGCUCUGAGUGAAGUUAACACGCCGCUGGUACUUUUAAACCAUAAUUCACUUUUACCGGGGCUGCGGAGAGAAGGGUCGUUUGUCAUUUAUUUAUCAUAUGACACACAUGUAAAUUGAUUACUUAGCCGGGCUGGAGCGUCAUUCUCUCCUGCUUGUACUCCUCUGCUCCUCAUCCCUCACUCCCACCGUCUUCUCUCCUGUCACCAGAGCCGUGGCCGUAUCCAUUACACGGCUCCGCUCCAGUGAUAAAUCCGUCUGUCAGCGAGACGUCAUAAUCAAAUUGUUCCAGAGGUCAUUUAACAUUGCAGAGGAGGGACUGCGCUUUAGCCCUUGGAGGAUCCGGCCCGAAUACAAUUUAUGUGUCAGAGAUGAAUCGCGGAAUGAACCAUUUGCGGGGGAAAAUGAACCAUCUAGGCUACUGAAAUAGCCUUGUUACGGCCCAACUGUGUCAUUUGAUCUGCCGACUUCAAUCACCGGUGUUUAGGUGCCAUUGCACUCUGCCAGUGAUUUAAAUAAUAAGAAAUAAUAGAUAAGAUUGUUGCUGAUGACAGAGCUGAGCUUGAGGUGCGGAAUACCGGAUGAGGUUCCCUUUCCCUCAACACUGAUAUCAAUGUGUAACUGUAAAUAAUCCAUUCAGUAGAAAAACCUUUCAUGUACAGAUCUGCGGAUAAAGAUGGGCCUAAAUUCUCCCCAUGUGCCAGCCGGAGAGGAAUUAUGUAACUCAAGCCAGCGGUUCCACCCUGCAAUGUGCAUCUUUU